GACGAACGCUGGCGGCGUGCCUAAUACAUGCAAGUUGAGCGCUGAAGGUUGGUACUUGUACCGACUGGAUGAGCAGCGAACGGGUGAGUAACGCGUGGGGAAUCUGCCUUUGAGCGGGGGACAACAUUUGGAAACGAAUGCUAAUACCGCAUAAAAACUUUAAACACAAGUUUUAAGUUUGAAAGAUGCAAUUGCAUCACUCAAAGAUGAUCCCGCGUUGUAUCAGCUAGUUGGUGAGGUAAAGGCUCACCAAGGCGAUGAUACAUAGCCGACCUGAGAGGGUGAUCGGCCACAUUGGGACUGAGACACGGCCCAAACUCCUACGGGAGGCAGCAGUAGGGAAUCUUCGGCAAUGGACGAAAGUCUGACCGAGCAACGCCGCGUGAGUGAAGAAGGUUUUCGGAUCGUAAAACUCUGUUGGUAGAGAAGAACGUUGGUGAGAGUGGAAAGCUCAUCAAGUGACGGUAACUACCCAGAAAGGGACGGCUAACUACGUGCCAGCAGCCGCGGUAAUACGUAGGUCCCGAGCGUUGUCCGGGUUUAUUGGGCGUAAAGCGAGCGCAGGUGGUUUAUUAAGUCUGGUGUAAAAGGCAGUGGCUCAACCAUUGUAUGCAUUGGAAACUGGUAGACUUGAGUGCAGGAGAGGAGGGUGGAAUUCCAUGUGUAGCGGUGAAAUGCGUAGAUAUAUGGAGGAACACCGGUGGCGAAAGCGGCUCUCUGGCCUGUAACUGACACUGAGGCUCGAAAGCGUGGGGAGCAAACAGGAUUAGAUACCCUGGUAGUCCACGCCGUAAACGAUGAGUGCUAGAUGUAGGGAGCUAUAAGUUCUCUGUAUCGCAGCUAACGCAAUAAGCACUCCGCCUGGGGAGUACGACCGCAAGGUUGAAACUCAAAGGAAUUGACGGGGGCCCGCACGAGCGGUGGAGCAUGUAGUUUAAUUCGAAGCAACGCGAAGAACCUUACCAGGUCUUGACAUACUCGUGCUAUUCCUAGAGAUAGGAAGUUCCUUCGGGACACGGGAUACAGGUGGUGCAUGGUUGUCGUCAGCUCGUGUCGUGAGAUGUUGGGUUAAGUCCCGCAACGAGCGCAACCCCUAUUGUUAGUUGCCAUCAUUAAGUUGGGCACUCUAACGAGACUGCCGGUGAUAAACCGGAGGAAGGUGGGGAUGACGUCAAAUCAUCAUGCCCCUUAUGACCUGGGCUACACACGUGCUACAAUGGAUGGUACAACGAGUCGCGAGACAGUGAUGUUUAGCUAAUCUCUUAAAACCAUUCUCAGUUCGGAUUGUAGGCUGCAACUCGCCUACAUGAAGUCGGAAUCGCUAGUAAUCGCGGAUCAGCACGCCGCGGUGAAUACGUUCCCGGGCCUUGUACACACCGCCCGUCACACCACGGGAGUUGGGAGUACCCGAAGUAGGUUGCCUAACCGCAAGGAGGGCGCUUCCUAAGGUAAGACCGAUGACUGGGGUG
rnacentral:rRNA from 1 species